UUCGCACACCCACUAACCCACUAGUUAGAUUCGUUAUUAUUGGUGUCCUGUGUGUGCUGUGUCUGCGUGUUUGGUAUAUUAGGUUGUGGGUGUGCACAUACAUAGAGAUGCAGACAUUCAGAUGCACACAUGUAUGCAUCUCUGUGUGUAUGUAUAUAUGUGUAUACAUGUAUAUGCAUGUAUGCAUAUAUGCAUUUACACACACACACACACACACACACUUUGAGGUAAUCGGGGUAACCAGACUCCUUCCCCUUUCCAUUGUUUUUCCUUUCUGCAGGAAAGACCCAGUAAGUAGAGGAAUUCUCCUACAAAAAAGCAGUAACAUUGAGAACACAAACACUGGUAGUGAUUUCCUCACGGGAGCCUCGUUCAGCCCACACUCACACCCCUCCACCAUCUCCAAGAUGUCACUGGCAGAUGUUUGUCUCCCCUGAGCUGAGUUCCAUUCAUGCUCAGCUGUGAUGUGUGUGUGACACUGGGAUCUCUUUGGCAUUUAUUCUGGAGGCUCGAACGGUUUUCAUGCUCCUACCGGGGCUGACACUUUAAGAGCUCAGCCAGUUUGAGGUGUUGGGUUUUGUUUUGUUUUGUUUUGUUUUCUUUCCGUUUCCAUUCUGUGUGAAACGGAAGUUGGGCAUGCCAGAAGGCUACAUGCCAUGGUUUACUCAGUCUCUCAGGGAGAUGAGGCAGUGGGAUUAAGGAGUAAUUGGUAUCCUCUUUGCAGAAUGAUUUUUGUUCCAACCUGAGCUUCCUCUCAGGACUGGAAAAGUGGCUGGUAUUUAUUGGGCAGUAGCUCGGUACAUAUCUGUUUGGCCUCUUCCUUAUUUUAAAAGACUAGCUGUUCACCUGGCUGGGCUUGUCCCCAAAUCCGCACCUGGUUCUCCUUUGGCUGUCCUGACCAUGAGUAUAUGUCACUGAGAGUGUUUCCUAUAAUGGGGCAACCCUUCCGGGUCUCUUGUCAUACCCAGCAGCCUUGGCACUGUUGAUAGCAAGAACAGUCUUAUUUCAUUUAAAAAAAAUCUUGAAGACGAUCCUUAUUAUAUUGUAUACGCGUGUGUGUAUACUUGCUUGUGUGCACAGGUUCUUUCAUGUGUGUGAUCGCAUGUGUGUAUACAUGCUUAUGAGUGUGGGAGGUCAGCCCUGGGUAGCGUUUAUCAGUUUUCUUUUUUGAGACAGGGUCUUUCACUGGUUGGAAAUAUCUAUUUAGGCAAGGUUGGCCAGUAAGCCCUGGAGAUCUGCCUCUCUCUGUGCCCUCCACCCCCACCCAGAGUGCUGGGAUUACAGGUUCAUGUCUCCUGGCUUUCUGGUACUAGGGAUUGAUCUCGGGUCCUAAUGCCUUUGUGGCAAGGCUUUGAGCCUCUGAAUCCCUUCCUUCCCCCAGUACUGGUACUUUUUCUGUAAUUUCUUGAAGAUCAAAGCAACUCUGCGCCAUCCCAAGUAAGUUAAUUUGUCCCCAUUUAGCACUUUUCUUCUUAAAUUGGGUGAGGAUAAGGAUUAUCCUGGGCCUACAGUGGAUCUCCCCUGUAUGGUGAGUAGAUGCCCGACAGAUUCAGUUGACACUAGGCGUCAGCUGCUCCCCCUGACUGCCGCUUGACUCCUCCCAGAGAGAAGAUGAUAGUCCUUUUUCCGUUUGUGUUUUGUCUGUUCAGGAGCUGAGGUGUACCUUCUCUGCUCCGCCCUCCCAUUGCCCUGGCAUUUCUUGUCUUUGGGGUCCUUUUGUUUCACUAGCUGGGGCUUGUACUUAGACCACCCCUUCCUGUUGGCACUCCUGUCCCGUGGCCUUGAGCCUCCCUGCAAAGAUACUUUUCUGUUUGCCCCACAGGGAAACUCAGCUUUGCUAUAAAUGGCAAAGUGGCUGAAUUGCUUUGGCUCUGCUCCAAAUGCUGGAAAUAAUCCGAGAGUACAAAAACAUAGCUUUCAUAUGAAAACAUUUAUCUUAGGAGCCUUCGGCAGGCUUGUGUGUGUGCCUGUCAUUUUCAUCAUGAAUUAGUUCCUUUCUCCGAUUGUGUGGGUAAACCUUCCUGAACAUCUGAUGUACUGAGAUGACAGUGAUUCUUGUCCAACAUUGUCACCUUGGGAGCAAUGGGAAGGCAUAAAUGAUGUAAUCGAAUUUGAAGAAAAAAAUUGAGAUGCCUUUGAUACCCAGGAAAGGCUCCUCCUAACAAGGACUUUUGUUAUGAUUUGUUUUCAAUGCUGGGAGUGGCGGCCCACACUUUUUUUUUUCUUUUAUUGGAUUUUUUAAAAUUUAUAUUUCAAACAUUAUCCCCUUUCCUGGUUUCCCCUCCAGAAACCCCUGUAUCCUAUCCCCCUUCCCCCUGCUUCUAUGAGGGUGCCCCCCCUCACCCAGCCACUCCCUCCCACUUCUCCACCCUGACAUUCCCCUAGACUGGGACAUUGAGCUUUGACAGGACCAAGGGCCUCUCCUCCCAUUGAUGCCCAACAAGGCCCAUCCUCUGCUACAUAUGUGACUGGAGACGUAGGUCCAUCCCCGUGUACUCUUUGGAUGGUGGUUUAGUCCCUGGGCUCCCACCUUUAAUCCCAGCUCUCCAGUGGAGGAGGCAAGAGGAGAAAGGAUCUUUGAGUCUGAGGCUAGCCUGGUCUACAGAGUGAGUUCUAGGAUAUCCUGAACUGUUACACAGAAAAACCCUAUCUCAAAAACAAACAAACAAAAAAGUCAAAGCAACCCCCCAAAAAACCCCAAACCAAAAAUUUUGUUUGUACUGACGUGUAUUCAUGCAUGAGAGUGCUACACUUAUAUGGAUACCACUGAGGCCACAGGAGGGCAUUGGAAGCCUUGGAACUAGAAUUACAAGCUGUAGUGUGCCACCCCAAAUGGGUGCCGUGCACCAGACUCAGGCCCUCUGCAGGAGCAGCAGGUAGCCUUACCUACCGACCAUGGGGCCAUUGUCUGGCUUUACUUGGUUUUGUUUCAUUUCAUUUUGUUUUUGUUUUGAGCCAGGGCUCACGAAGCUCAGACUGGCCUAGAACUCGGGAUGUAGCAGAGCUGGCUUUGAACUUCCACCCUUUUGCCUUCACUUCCCAUGUGCUCAGAUCACAAGUGUAUACGACAACAUCCGACAUUCAAUUUUAACUACAGUUUGCCCCGGCUAGAGGUCUAGGCUAGCAACCUCACUCCUUCCCACUGGCAGCCUACUAAACUGCCCUUGAGGCCUUGCUCCUGAAUGGGACCUGAGGAUGCUUAAGCCAAGCUCCCCCCCACACCAACCCCUAAGCCCCCAACCCCCACCCCCGGUCCUUGAGGACUUCGUGACACUCGUGCUUUGAGUUAAUAAAGCAGGGUAGGAUUGGAGCUUGGUCAUGGUUCUAAAGGCUUUGCCUUUCAGUCAGCCCAUUAGAUUAGUAGCUUGGGAAACGUCCCCAGUUUGGGGCUUGAGAGGGCCUGAGUGGAUCUUUGCAGGUGUUCUGCCAUUUUGUCAUGGAACUGGGUGUAAAACCUUCCCCAGUUUGCAAGGCUUCUCAGAAUUGUAUGGUUUAGGAAUCAAGACAUAGAAUCCCGGUUUCAAAUUCUCAGGAGAGGCACUGUGUCUCACCCAGCAGUACCGUACGCAUCUCAAGACUUUAUUUUGAAUAUAACUGCACCCCAAUAGCCUGCAAGUAUUCUUUGUAAUUUGCAGUGGAAUAGAUUUUAAAUCAUAUCUGUUCAUAGUGAAGGGUACCUAGCAUAUAUUUAUUUAUUCCUUUUUUUUAUUCCCCUGUGUAGGCUUGACUGUCCUAGAACUCACUGUGUAGAUCAGGCAGGCCUUGAACUCAGAGAUCUGCCUGCCUCUGCCCCCCAAGUGCUGGGAUGAAAGGGAGUUGGGUUCACCUUGACGGCUGCAGGUCUGUUUGGCCUUCUCCUCCAUGACUCUGUUGUGCCCAGCAGGCGUAUUGCAAACCCUACUUGACAUGACCAGACUGUCUCCUUCCCCAGUGUUAGCACCUUUUCAAGCUCUGGUAUGAGUAUUGCCUUUGGUGACUUUCUACUGUUCUGUGGGCCAUAAUCCAAACUAGUUUGUGGUAGAAUCCAGCCCCGGUGACGUGGCUUCGCCCUCCUGUCUGGGCCUGGCUUUUGGAGGAGGAGAUGUAGGCUGCAUAGAGUGCGUGGUUUGCUCAUCGUAUCUUCCUGUGCCUGUCCCCCGAGUGCUUCCUGUAUGCCUUCCCAAGCCUCUCAAGACUCUUCGAUCUCUAAGCCUACGUUUUUUACUUUUUCUAAACCUUAAGGAAGUUGAGGCUUCAAGGCAUUUGAAAAUUACACACGGGUGUUUGGUAUUUUCACUUCUUUAAUACAAGAGGUUUUAUUAAUGUGUAACCCAGCAUUAUUUGAGGUGUUUUGUUUUUGUAUGUCUAUGUGUGUCUUGCGUGUAUGUAUGUCUACCCACCAUGUGCAUGUCUGGUGUCUGCGGGCCCUGAUGAAUCUGGAGUUAUAGAUGGCUUGUGAGCUGUCCUGUGGGUGCUGGGAAUCGAACCCAGGUCGUCUGAAAGAAUUUGGAGUGCUCCUAACCACCGAACCAUCUCUCCAGCUCCAGCCACGCUGGUUUUGACAAGACUUAAAACAAAACAAAAACCUGUUUUGUAUAAUAUUUAUUUAUUUUGUCUUCCCACGGCAUGAGUGGCCUAGAUAAAUUUAGCUAAGCAGGGCAUGUCAUUCUUCAGACCGUGUUUUAGAGUCCUUGUGCUUAGGACAUGGCCAGGGGUAAAAAGUUGUUUAUUCAAAAGUCUUCGUGGCGAGUCACUGGAUUUGGUGUUUUUCCCCCUCAGUGCUGAGGUGAAGCACAGAGCCUGGCGUGUGCUUGGGAGUGUGCCAGCCCUGAGCCACACCCCAGUGUGAGUCACUGGAUUUUAGAACUGGGGUGACCAAGGUGACUUCAGUCACCCUCAGAUAAGGGAGGCCACACUGUGCCUCAGCUGUUCUGGGGUAGGGGGAGCGGUUCAGGUGGUCACUGCUCUGCAUCAGCCACAGUACUUCUGUAAUUAAUGCCUGAAUGCCUCUGCUGGGUCGGGUGAGGAAGCAAGGUGGAGUAUCAGUUCCAGGAAGACUCCCAACUUCUGUCAACUUCCUGCCCUUGAAAUCCUGAGCUCACCCUGAUAUGAUUUCAUUAUUAUGGUUUUGAUUAAGUUUUCCCCCAAAUCAGAAAGUGGAAAAACACUGGAUUAUUUUGUGGGGCUUGCCUUUCUGUUUAAAUCAUAGGUCAUUUCUUUUAUAAGCUAAUUUUAAAUUGGUAAGAUAAAAUACAAAGGGGUCAUUAUCAAUUAAUGCAAACUUGGGACGACAUGUUCAUGUAAAUAUUAGCACUAGUAGAAGCUGAACCUUGUAGCAUUUGUCUCAUAAAGGAAACGGUUUUAAAUGCUCAAAGUAUUUGGUUGACCUAUUUAAGGGUCAUGAGGUGACAGCUAUUAUUAUCCUCAUUGAAGCACAGAGAGGUUAGGGACUUGUACAACAUCACACAGCCCAUAAGUGGCAGAGCUGGUGGGAUUUAAGUACAAGCAGUCUGAUUCUAGAAAACACUUCAAGGUAUUCGCUGUCUUCUCAUUUUGUACCUACAUUCUGUGCAUGUGUGUGUAUGGAGAUCAGAGACUUGUCCUUAGGAGUUGUCUACUGCGUGUGUGUGUGUGGUGUGUGUGUGUGUGUGUGUGUGUGUGUGUGUGUGUGUGUGUUUGCGUUUGCUGGUUUUUCCUGACAGGAUCACUCAUUAGCCCGGGGUUUGCCUGUUAAGCAGGCUGGUCAUGGAGUCUCAGGAAUCUAUUGGCUCCGUCACUCUAAUAUGUACUAAAGCUCCAAGCCUGCCUUCACAGAGAUGCUGAAACCCCUACUUCCUGCUCCUGCUGUGUGUAACCAUGCUUCUGACAUGAGAGUCGCACUGCAUGCAUGCUCAGUAACGGGGUACCCUCCCACACUGCAUGCAUGCUCAGUAACGGGGUACCCUCCCACGCUGCAAUCAUGCUCAGUAACGGGGUACCUUUAGAGCUUUGCAGCUCUACCCCAUACCACUCUCCUACCAUCUCCACACUGCAGCCCCAGAUGGGCAGGAGAGUGGUGGAAACCACUAUGUUCAGGUGAGAAUUUUCACGCAGAACCAGCGAUAUAUCUAAGCUAGCCUCAUGGCGCUUGCCCAGGUUAAUACUGACAUCUGUUCCCCAAGUGUAUCCAGCUGGGGCGGAAGCCACGUGUGCUCUUUUAGCUUCCUCCUGCCUUUACAGGGUAAUCUUAGACUUGGUUUGUCUUUGAGUUCACAUGUCCUAAUUCCAUACUUUUGGAGCCUCUGUUCCUGACAGGAAUAGGCCCAAGGAAUCUGACAGGUCAGGCAAAGCCCUAGGCACAAAGUCCUACCCAGCCCUCCCACCCCCAAAUGCUUUGUCGGUGAAUGGUACAGGGUGAAGUCAGCUCCUUCCAAUCUAUUUUUCUUUUCUUUUCUUUUUUUUUCUUUUUUUUUUCUUUUUGACUAGCCAGAGUAGUAAUGAGAUGUCGAACUUGGGAAAUCGAUUAAGAAUGAUAGAUCUAGCUGGAUGUGGUGGCUUACCCUUGUAAUGCCAGCAUUUGGGAGGCCAAGGCAGGACAACUGUGAGUCUGAGGCUACUGGGAGACUCCAUCUCAGAAAACCACAUGAGAAAAGAAUGGUAAAUAUAUUUUUAGAAUAAACAUGUUAAUUACAGCAUCAGUGAAGGCUUAAAAGCUUUUCAUUGUGAUAUCAGCAAGCCUUUCACAGUGUGACCCACUUUGAGAGUUGAAUGAAAGCAGAAGUUUUCACAGGCACUGCCUCCUGUUUUAGCUUCACAGAAAGGAGAAGGACCUUGCUAUGGUGGGGGAGGAAGUCGACAGGAUUGGGCUCUGUGGUGGUGGGACAGGUGCCUGGCCUGUGUGCUUGAGACCGGAGCCAGCACCCAGUCUACAACAAAUCAAAGUCGAAAGUUUCUUCCAUGGUAAGAGUGUUCUGCGGUGGAGGCCUGAGCUUCUUACACAAUUACUUUAAUGAGCUCCAAGGCCCUGGUGUCCUGGCCCUAAACAUUCUAGGUCUCAAGCAGGUGGCUCAUUCUGAUUGUAAGUCCAUGUAUCCGUCUUUUCCAGGGAGAUAAAAAACAAAAGAAAAUAAGUCAUUUGUCGUUUUGCAGGGAUGGAGUGUUAGUGACAGUAUGCCUGCCAUCUGCUUUGGUUUCUAUGACGUAAGACACUUUGUAUGACCAGAAAUAGCAAAUUAGAACAGACCGGGCAUUUUGAAAAUCUUGAGUUUUAUAUGAAGUGUGACUAUGGAACGAAUACAGAAAUCUUGGAACAGAGACCCCUUUGUUGGGAUGUGGGAGAAUAUCCAUGAAUUUUAAUGGAAGAUGUGAAUAGACAAAGGAGAUGAUUUUGAAGAAGCUGGAGGCUUCCUUCUGGAAGCUGUGGAGACCCUCCUGGGUAAAGAGGUGGCCUGCAUUUGGAUCAAAGUCAGGCUGGCCUUAGAUGCCGGAAGUCAAAGCUGCUAGGAACUGCGCCUCUGACCCUUUGCUCAGCUCUUCUGGUGAAUUUUGGAGAGAAGGGGAAGUUCCCGUCAUUCCUAAGCAUUUGGCUCUGGACACUGUGUGGUCAAAGCUCAGGGACGCUGAUCACAUGAUUAUAGGGCCACUGCUGAUAGGUUUGACUAGAUUUUGUAUUUGUUGCUAUACUUGAAGGUCAAAGAGAGUCCAGUCAGUCAAUCUGAUCAGGCUGAGGGUUGGUCUUGUAAAUGCAAAGCUGUAUACCUGUGAAUGUAUGUACAUGUUAACAUUUGUUACCCCAAAGCAUUUGAGGUGCUUUCUUGGGUGUUGGUAGUCCAUGGAUGCGCGUGAUACCAAACAAAUGCCAGAAGUUCAGGAUGCUUGUUCCAGGUGAGGCUGGAUGUGGCCACACUUUUCUUGACAAUCCCUCAAACAGUUAGUGUCUCUGUGGCAGUCUACUUAACCCCAUGCUGUUUUGAAUUUUCAUAGUCCCAACUGUAGGGCCGGUUAUGUGUUUAGUGUUCCUAAGGAUGGGCUGUGAUGUGUCUUAGGAAGAAUGUCUAUAUGUUAGAAAGCCACUGCUGCCUGUGAAUUUAAUGCUCAUAAGGUAGCCAUAUACUACUUUUUUUUUUCUUUUUCUUUUUUUCGGAGCUGGGGACCGAACCCAGGGCCUUGCACCUUGCUAGGUAAGCGCUCUACCACUGAGCUAAAUCCCCAACCCCUACUUUUUUUUUUUAAAUAGAAACAAAUAAAACAAAGCUAUCUGGUGAAUGAGCAAAGGAUGUUGGGAACUUGUAAGAACCUGCCUCUGAGCAUCAACUAGGAAAGAAUCAGGGGUCGAUGGAUGCUAAUGAGCGCUCAAGGUUAUCUUGUACCUCAGCCUGUCACCUUGGUCAGUGAGGGGCCCUCCAAAGUGUGUGGUGCCUGUUGGGUUCUGAAGGGUCUUGAGCCUGGGUGAUGUUGGGGUGCAUCUCUGCAAGUGUGUGCAUGGACCAGAACUACAAACCAGCGGUGGAGCUCAGGUGAAAGGAAAUCAGCACAUGACACCUUCUUCCCCAGAAGUCCCGCUCUUCCUUCAUUCGAUACCAACGGGCUCUUUAGAGUGAUCAGUGUAGCUUGUCACUGGCCUCCUGGACUGAUGCCCUGGCAGCAUGCGGUCGGUGUUUAAAAACAGAUUCCAUGGGAACCUACUGUAUGUGGCAAGAGUUGCUUUUAAGCCUAUAGAAGGCUUUGCAUUUCAACAUAUAUUAUUCUGUAGGUUCAAGGAAAAGUAUCUGCAUUUUAAAAAGCUUGUACAUGUGCCUGCGUUGGCGUGUGUGUGUGUGUGUGUGUGUGUGUGUGUGUGUGUGUGUGUGUUUUACCUAUUCUUCUGUAUUUUGUAUAACUGUUGUUUCCUCACAAGAGAGAAAAGAUUGAUGGAGGUGACAGAACAAAACAGGCUCUGUUUGGGGAAGUGUUUUUUUGAGGUCAUUUGGCUAGACAGUGAAUGAGAGAGGCAGAAUUUCCGGUAUGAGCUUUGGUAGGGGAACUGAAGUCUGCCGCAAGGCCUGGGUUCAGUGUCUACAGACUCAUUGAAAAGAGACUCUCCACUUUUCAGAAUAAUGAGUAAUAUUCAAUAGUACAUGAAACCUUAAAAAGUGUGUGUGUGUGUCUGUGUGUGUGUCUGUGUGUGUGUCUGUGUGUGUGUGUCUGUGUGUGUGUCUGUGUGUGUGUCUGUGUCCAGUUGCCUGUUUUAUCGUCAUUCUGUCCUGCUGUCUGUGGCGUCUGUUUGCGGAGUUUGGGUCUGGUGUGUUUAUUUAAUUGUGGUAAGAUGCACAUAACAUUUAUUCUCUUAAUUAGGUGCACUGUUCAGUACUACUUUAGAGCAUUCAGUACUGGUAAGUGAUGGGCCUUCUAGGAGUCUCCUGUCUCCGUCCGUGUCCAGUAAACAGUAGUCCAUCUCCCCUUAGCCCAGUCUUUUGAGGCCGCUGUCCGCUUUGUCUUGUGCAUUUGUGACUCCCAAGUAAGGCACGGAAGCUACACAUAUGGCGUUUAUGGUUCUGCUUUUUGGUGCCUGGCUUAUUUAAUUUGGCACAGUGUGAGAAAGCUGGUCAUCAUGAUGCACACUUGUUAGAGUCCUAGGACUUGGUGGUCGGCCAGCCUAGCCUAACUAAGGAGGCCCUGGUUCCAGGUAGAGACUCUGUCUCAAACCCAAAGUGGAGGCACCCUGGGCUUAACCUUUGGCCAUCACAUUUAUACAUACGGAGAUAAAUGUGUAUACGCACACCAACACACACAUGCGCGUGCAUGGGGAUGGAGGUCGGGACCCUGGUCUGUUUCCUCACACUAAGGCCAGGUCAGUCUGUUGACUCUUGCUCUUUAGCCUUUCGUGGUAACGUGUGUUGUCUGCCUGGGCCUUUUGUUCCAGUAGCAUAAGCAGUUUUAUUUGUAAGCAUCUUUAUGUUUGGGAACUGUUUUCUGAACCUGCCUCCCCCUUCCCUUUUUCCUCCCCACAGAUACACCCUCUGGACAUCUGUGCUUGAGACGUUUAGUGUUUUAUAAUGGUUUUCUCAGAUGCCUGCCUGGCUUCCAGCUGGAAAGAGCAGCCAGGUUGAGGUCAAGACUGUGAACCACAUGGUCGGUCCUUCAAAAGGACAACCUGUCUUUACUCGACUUUGUUCGCCUUUCCGUAGGUCACGGUCAAUCCCGGGCUCACUCUGAGUUCUGUUGGUGACUGACCUAGCAGGAAGCUUUCCAAGCUUCUCAAGGAAGAAGUGCGUUUUGCAUCUUAAACCUUAGUGUUUGUUUCAAGUCGGUCAUAGUACAGUUAUUCCUGAUUUAUAUGGAAUGCCUUUUACCAGAUCUGUCUCAUGUCUCGCUCAUGUCAUUUCACCUCGCAUCAUAGAGACAGAGCUUACACUGCUCUUGAACUCCUCCAUAGCCCAGGAUGACCUCAGACGUCAGAUUGCUCCACUUCCACCUCCUUUAGUGUUUUGUGAUUACAGGCAUGUGUCACCACACCUGGAGAGGAAGCCCAGAACACCGUGCAUGCUGGGUAAACUCUGCCAGCCUAGCUGUAUCCCUGGGUCUCCUCAUGGGCUGUAGUCAUAGAACUUUGGUAUUCUCAGGGCCAGGGUGGAGGGAGGAAUGGCCUUCCUUCCCAUGUGGUCUUCAAUGCACGGGAUGUCAGACAGAAAUCAAACUUGCCUCAUAACAUGGCCCCUCCUCCUAACUGGUAGUUGGUUCUUGUCUACUGAGACCACAUUUUCAGCGAUUUUCUUUUUCUUUCAUAAUUGUUUUCUAACUUCUUCCUGUAAAGCUAUUAUUUAUUUUUAAAUACAUUUUCAAUUGAAUACAUUUUAAAUAUACUUUCAAAUUACAAUAUAAUGACAUCACUUCCUCACUUCCCUUUCUCCCACUUUGUUACAAUUUCUUUUGCUGGGAAUUCUUGACAAGCCUAAGAGUUCAUACUUGCUAUAUCACAUUCGUGCCCUGGAUCUUCUGUCUUGUCACAGAAUUCACAGUAUCACCCUGUCGGAGACGUGGAUCUGCUUUAAUGGUGACUGUCCUUGAUAGAGACUCAAAAGGUCAAAUUUGCUCUCCAAACAUGACAGACUAGGCCAUCUCUUUGAUUCAAGUUGAGCAGAGCCUCGAUUUGGGGCAUGGGAAAGUCUUUGGAGAGAAUCUAGCUUCCUUAUAUAACUGAGUGAGUUUGCUGCAUGCUUUCACUAUGUGAAAUGGUUCAUUAUGCAGACUGCGUGACAUGGAGUUGAGCCCGGUGUCUGCUGAAGGUGGAGGGCAGCGUUUGAAUCGGUCUGCAGUAGAUCCGAGCUUCUCCUGCAGUUUAUCUUGUUUAUCGCUUUGCAUGGGCUGCCUGAUUUCUUGUACACUGAUCCUUCCUAUGAGAUUAACUAGCAAUAAGGCUUUUGCUUUUUCUUGUAAAGUGGACUCAUGAGUACUGAUUGGUGAUGGACAAUACAAUAUGUUCAAUGCAAUGGCUGGCAUCCAAAAAAUGUCUACCACUAUUAACACUUAGUCAAAGGGCACUGAUGGUGGGGAUCUUAGAUGAAAUGCCCUACAGUGGGAAGAGAGAACUUGUAGAGUCCAUCUCCAGCAGAAAGACCUCAUCAAGUGAGGGAUGGGGUUGCUAUCCCACAGUCAAAAUUCUGACCCAUAAUUGUUCCUGUCUGAAAGAACUGCAGGGGUAGAAGUAGAGAGGAGCCCGAUGAAAAGGAGGUCCAGUGACAGGGCCAAAGUGGGAUCCAGCUCAAGGGGAGGCCCCAAGGCCUGACACCAAUACUCAGGCUAUGGGGCCCUCACAAAAAGGGACCUAUCAUGACUGCCCUCCAAAAGACCCAACAAGCAGCUGAGUCAGAUGCAGAUAUUUGUAUACAACCAAUGAACAGAAGCUGCUGACCCUUGUGGUUGAAUGAGGGAAAAGCUGGAGGAAGCUGAGGAGUAGGGCAGCCCUGUAGGAGGACCAGCAGUCACAAUUAACCUGGACCCCUGAGAUCUCUCAGACACUGGAUCACCAACCAGGCAGCAUACACCAGCUGAGAUGAGGCCCACAACACAUAUCCAGCCGAGGACUCCGGGGUCUGUCUGUGUUCAGUCAGAGAAGAUGUGCCUAACCCUCAAGUGAGGUGGUAGGGUGGGGACAUCCUCGUGGAGACAGGGGUGCAGGGAGGAGGUGUGGGAUGUGGAAUAAUUGGAGAGUGGACUGGAAGGGGAAUACAAUCUGGACUGUAAAAAAAAGAUUAAAUAAAAAGAAGGAACACACAGACACACACACACACACACACACACACACACACACACACACGGCACUGAUGGCUUUGGACUAAGAUGGGGAUGUUGAGUUCCCUUUUCUCUCUUUCAUCAAUAGGUACCUGAAGGUGAGUCUGAAAGAGUGCAGUAUGGUCAGGGUUAUUUAUUAAUAGCUACCACAUCACACUUUUCUAGCCACCAAGCAGUAGUCAGUCAUUGCUUGCCAGGUAAAGGGAUGUCUUGUUAUAAUAGAGUCUGCAGUGUCUGCCUUCUGUGGCUCUAUCUUGUAACUGUGUUUUGUCUCUUGGGUUUUCUGAUCCAGGAGGGAGCAAGCUCUUCCUAGUGUUACAGGCCUGGAACAGAGAUAUGGCCUCUCUCCAGAGUACUUUUGCUGGCGGGCUGUGUGGGGAGCCUGGGUGUGUCUGGUCACCAGGAACAACAAAGCCACACUGUGGAUCUGAGGUCCUGGGAAGCCAUCCAGUUUCCUCCUCCUGACCCUGACUCAAGUCUUCCCUGAAGUCCUCUGUCAGCUCCAGUCCUGUUCUCGUCUAUCAACCACCCUCACCCUCCUUCUAUAACCCAGCUGGGUUUCCACAGUGGUUCCUGAGCUGGUGUCACAGGGCUAGUCUAUGCAUAACAGAAAAAAAAAAAAACCAAAACAAACAAAUCCUUCCCUCCCCCCCAAAACAAACAAACAAACCAAAAAAACCCCCAAAAAACAAAAAUCCAGGAGUGGAGGCUGAGACACCAGGACAGUGCUGCAAGUGGAAAGCUGAGGACAAGCAUGGGAUGUCAACAACGUUUCCACCUUUCUGAUUGGAUACUCAACACUUCAGCGUGCUAAGAAGGAAGGUUCUGUCCUCCGUUCUUCUUUAAGAUUUUGUGUUUCAGGUAAACUUCCUUUCAGUAACACUUUUAGAGAAAUUAUUAGUUUAAUUUUUUUUUUAUUCUUUUCCCAUAUACUAUGUCGGGACUGCAGUUUCAUCUCCCUCCCCUCCCCCUCCCUCCCACAUCAACUAAACACGUAUAACAAGCCACAGUAAGGCCAGGCACACACCAUUGCAAAGUUACUGGUUUUCAGUGUGGAUAACAUUGAGUUCAAUUGACUUGUUGAUUUCUCCCCACCCACCAGGCAGGGUUUUGUUAGCUUGUUUGUUUGUUUUUGUCUCUCUUUGCACCUUAUUUUCCUUUCUAUAUUAUAGAAUGUCACGGGAUGUUAAAAGAUGAAAGGGGCAGAUUGUGAGAUGCAGAAUAUAAAAGAUGUCCGUAUAGUUUUUAAAACCUUUAAAAGCAUUUAUUUGUGUGUGUGUGUGUGUGUGUGUGUGUGUGUGUGUGUGUGUGUGUGUAGUCAGAGGACAACUUAAAGGAGUUGCUUCUCUCCUUUGCCCAUGUGGGUCCCAGGGACUGAAUUCGGGGCCUAAGGUUUGACACCAAAAGCCUUUAUCCACCGUGCUGGCUGGUUUUAUGCCAGCUUGACAUAAGCUAGAGUUAUUUGAAGGGAGGGAACCUCAAUGAGAAAAUGUUUCAUAAAAUCUGGCUGUAAGGCAUUUUCUUAAUUAGUGAUGGAUGGGUUUGGCCAUUGAGAGUGGGGCCAUUCCUGGGCUGGUGGUCCUGGAUUCUGUAAGAGAGGUAGCUGAGCAGGCCACGGGGAGCGAGCCAGGGAGCAGCACCCUCCAUGGCCUCUGCAUCAGCUCCUGCUUCCAGGUUCCUGCCCUGUUGAGUUCUUGUCCUGAUUUCCAAUGAUGAUGAAUGGAUGUGGAAAUGUACACCAAAUAAAUCCUUUCCUCCCCAAAUCUACUGGUCAUAAUGUCCCAUCACAGCCAUAGAAACCCUAAGGAAGACACCCACCACACCAUUUUGACAGUCCAAGAGUGAUUUUUUUAAAAUGAAGGCAUGAUUCAUGUAACAUUUCAGCUCUGUGUUAAAAAAAUUACAGAGACUUCUUGAGCAUCCUUCUUACCACAGGGUUGUGUCCAGAUAAAAGGAUUAGAAGUUGAAAAUACUGUCUUUUUGCUGAAACCGUGGAAACACUGCAAGUCUAAAACUGCACGGAUAAAUCUAGCUCUAACGCCAUGUGGAGCCUCCUUUUCUUGCCCUCCUUUUCUUGCCUUCUUCCUUUUUAUUUGCUGUCUGUGUGUAUAUGGGGAGGGGGAAGAGUAGGGGGGAGGACCUGGGAGGGGUCGGGGGAGCAGAACUGUGAUUAGAAUAUAUUGUAUGAGAAACAUUUUCAGUUAAGCAAUGCACUCAGAACAUGGAUAUUAGCAUUUAAUUGGGCAAAAUCAUUCAGCAUGAAACCCAUUUUAGAAUUGUGUUGGCUUCGAUGGAGUUCAUUGAGUGCUCUGCCAAUGUCAAACACAGGCUGAGUCUGUGGCCAUACCUUCCCACCAAUGAAGGGAUUGUAUGGGACUGCAUUUAUCUGAAGUUCAAACCGACCCUAGCAGCCUGUUUAAUCUGGCGUCCAUAACCAGGUGAAGGUGCUGAGGGAGGGCGGCCCGAGAGGGAGCCAGAAGAAAGGGCUGAGAGUCUAGUGGCUUUUUUGCCACCUAGCCUUGCUGUUCUAGGUGUCCAGCCUUCUCUCUGUUGUCACUCAGGAUAUGACGAGUGACUCAAGGCAUGGGGACAGCUCAGUUGUGGAGGAACACACUGGGUCAGUCUCCUGGAAACAGUUACUCUCAGGUCAUGGUGUAUAGUUGUCUGUCCUUUCUCCCCAUUGCUACUGAGUGAGCUACAAUGGUGGCUGGAGAGACACAGGGUAGGGUUUGCCCUUCUCUGCUUUUGACCCCAAGGCUGAUUCUUUCUUCUCUUUUGUUACCGUCUGACAAGUGAGACACACCAGUGACAGUGUAAUGUGACAAGGAUCUGUGAGGUGCUUUUUAUUGGCUGUAAUUAAAAAAAUGUCUUUUACCUCAUUUCAACACAAGCUGUAGACUUUUCCUCUCUCAUUCUAAGGAACCAGACAGCUACCGACCACGCGAUGAAAUCAACACACUUAGCCCUUGAGCUCUGACGAGGUGCAGAGGUUCGUCUGAGGGUAUUUUUAGCCACAUUCAGUAUCAGCUGAGGAAUUAGGAGCAGGCAUUCAACUGGACAAGAAAAACGUCAGGCCGGGUGGCAGUCAGUGACGUCAUGAUGCCUUUUCUUUAGUGGUUAUCAGUGGGAGGAGCAGUGCAGGAACAUCUCUGAUUCAAGGAUGCUGAGGUCCUCUUUUCAGCCCUUUCCACACUGUAGCUAAUCUGAGCUCAAGUGUGUUUUUUCCAAGGAAAGUUGGAUUGGCAUGGACUCACAUGUCUGGAAUUAUCUGAGUCCUUUGUAAACAGACCAACUCUUGGAAGGCAACCUUUGCUUGUCGCUUGCUUUCCUGGGCUGGGUUCCAGAGCUUCCCGACUCCUGGACAAUAACGCGUACUUUUUGUGCUACUUCAGAUAUUUAUUUUACAGAACCCGUGGGCCUUUUAUCCCCUCAGAUCCACUUGGAAAACAUGCUUGUGUCCUAUCAGAGCAGAGGUUCAAAACUCGUGGAGAGUUUUCUGUUUUGACAUUCCACAGUGACAGUGGGCUUUGCAGGAGGAGGGAACCCCUUAUGCUCCCCCAUUUCCCCACCACCACCAAUUCCUGCUCCCCCUCCUAUCCCCUCCUCUCUUCCAGUCUUGCUUUCCUUUUUCAAAACUGACCACAAGCAUGUUCUUGGUGCUCAUGUGCCUUUCUUCAUUUCUGUUAGGCAUUCUUGACCACCAUUUCCAGCCGUCCCUAUGUGGGGAAAGUUAAGUAUUUCUUCAAGAGAUAAAUUCCUUAAGGGAAGGUUUGAACCAUUCUGACCUUUUAAGGUUUUUCUCUGACAUUUUUCUUGCUGUCUGAAAAAAAUGUGCUGUUUCUACUUUUAAGGACAGACAGAUCUGUAGUUUGUGCUAAUGGGUGUGUAGUUGGAGUGUGUUGGAGGUAAGGCGUUGAUGGUUAUAGGGCUGGAAAAGGGCUUGGAAUUCUGUAUCAGGGCUCUCCCUUAGAGGAAGUAGAAACUGCUCUACCACCAGACGGGAGAGUGGGAAAGCUGGGCUGCAGACCUUGCUUUGCUUGAUUCCAGAGACUUCUCUCACAUCUGUGGAGAAGCUAUUUAGUGUAACUGCACUUCUCAGACAGCUGAAAUUCAAAUACCCAUUGUACCUGCUUUUGGGUCAAAGUGUCGUCUUUGUCGUCUCCAUCACAUACCUCAGUAACUGAAGAGUGUUGCCUUCUGAAGCCCUGGCUAUAUGGAACAUGACUCAGCUUUCUGUCUGACCGCAACAGACACUGUUUUGUGAGUGUUGACUGUUAUUUUUUUGGUUUAAUUCCUUUGCAGCUGGGGACAUAUGAAUCUCUUGGCUUGCUAUGACAAGCUACUUGCGUAGGUCCCCAUCCCCACCCCCUUCUUUGUUGUUACUUAGCAUCUUUUGCUGCUCUAAGGGUGGUGUUCAUGACCCUGUUUGCAUCCCUGUCCAUUAUACCUACAGGGUUAUAGUUGUCUGAGAUGUUGACUUUUGUCACAGAGAGGCCACUGCCAGUGAAAACAGAUUAUCUCCAAAGAAGGGGAUGUGGAUGGGACGCAGGCCCUCACAGGGAAGCUACAAAAACUGGAGACAAGCCUGGGUUAAGGUCUUUCUUACGGUUUCCCUAGACAAACAAGCUGGACAGGGAGCAGUGCAUGGAUGAUGUGGGUGGCUUCUAGGCUCCAGACACUGACUAGUUGCUUAUGGUUUGGCCUUGGUGACUUGGGGCAGGGGAAAUAUAUGUUGAAUGUGUGAGAGGAGGCUCUGCAUUGCUGGCCUGAUGGGAAACACUUUGACCAUCAGUUUGUCCCUGCCAUUAACAGAGCACAGAUAAACCUGGAUCAGCUGCCACAUUUUAAUUCCUCGAAGUUAGGGAGAGCUGAGAAGUCCUUUAGCUAGGCAUGUUAGAUGUCGUCUGUUUGUGUGUUCUGUAGAUGUCUGGAGGAGGGUAUUAUUAUAUGAGCAGUGAGAUCCGUCUUAUUUUGAGCUCUUCUUAUAACUUUGGACUUAUGGCAAAGAAUAGAUAUUUUCAUAACUAGAAACAAGGCUCCUUUGUUUGAAACCCUGUAGAUUUGUAGUGACAGCUUUCUUGCCGUGGGGUGAAAUUUCUUUUGUUUUGUUUUGUUUUCUUUUCUUUUCCUUGUAAUUAGAAAUCUUACCCAGUUUAAAUAGAGCCCAGAUGCCAUCCGUAUGAUGUCCUUGUGUAAGUAGUCAUUUAUAUAUUUACAUAAUUAUUAUUUUAAAAAUCAUUUUAUUAUUUGGAGAGGUUCUCACUGCAGCUCUGGCUGUCCUGGAACUUGCUAUGUAAACCGGGCUAGUCUUGAACUCAGGGAUAUGUCUGCCUGCCUCUGCCUUCCAAGUGAAGAAGGUUAAAGGUGUCCUCCACAUGCUUGGCUUCAAGUCACCAUUUCCUACCAUCUCCUAUAAGCCUAAGUCUGGUGUCCUUUCUGUAUGUCCAGGACGACAGUUAUACCUGUUGGAUUGUCUUCCUUGUGUAUUUUCUUUCCUGCUCUUGGCAGAGUUCUUUGUUUUCUUGUGUGUGGUCCGUGUCUAGCAUCGAAGCAUACGCUCAGCAGGUAUGUGUGGAGGUGAAUGUCAAGUGUCGUCUGUGGGGGCUAGUAUGUCACUGCUCUUCAUUCUACUGCUGAUCGAAGGCUACCUGUUGAAUGAAUGGAAGCCUGGUGAGGCAUUAUAUCUGACGGGCCCUUCUAAGCUUUUGUGGGACUAGUGGAGUUCUUAGAGGUAGCACAUACAGGCAGAGGCAGGGGUGGUUUAGGAUAACUGAGCUGGAGAGUAAAUACUGACUCAGAAGCACUUCAACCUAAUCUUGCCUGUAGGCGAGGUGAAAUGAUAUUUCUAUUUGAAUAAAAAUCUCACACAUCAGAAGGCUUUAGAUAGCACGGGAACAUAGUUCAGUGGUGAGAUCAGUUGUAAUCCCUGAAGUUUGUGUAUAUGUUCUUUAUAUGUGGAGAAAAAGACUGCAGCCAUCAUUGAAGAUCUUAGGGCAGGCCAGCCAUGGCUACAUAGGAAAUAGGCUACAUAGGGAGAUUCUAUAAAAACAAAAACCACACACACACACACACACACACACACACACACACACACACACACACACACACACACCCUGUAUGAGAAAUGGUGGAGAGAUAUGUAUGUAUCCCUCCUCUCCUGUGUGGAUAAAAACAAAAACUACACACACACACACACACACACACACACCCUGUGCCGAAGAGAAAUGGUGGAGAGAGAUGUAUGUAUCCCUCUCCUGCAUGGAUACUACCCUCAGACCUGAAAAGAUGCUUUGCCAGAAGUCAAGAGCAGAACUCUGUUCAAGUGUCAAGUAUUAAGACAGUUUCUGCUCAGAUCCAUUCUCAGUGCCUUCUGAAUUUCUGGUUUCCACACACAUAUUUAAAUUAGGCUCGUUAAACACUUUUAUUGGUAUCAUUGUAAAGCAUAAUAUAAAAUCUCAGGCCCUUAGCCACCUUAGGAAAGCAGCUGUCAUCUAUUGUCUCCUAACCAGGCGAGCAGCUUCCUUGGGAGCAAGGGGUGGGGUGGGAAGGUGGGGAUUCGGAGACUCACAGGUGACUUAACCAUGGAGAACUUCCCAGAGACGGGGAGAACAUUGCCCAGGGGGUCUGUGCUUCUGUAAGGAAGUCAAGGAUGAUUUCUGUUUUGUUGUGGGACAGAUCUCCGGGAGGGUAGGAUGUUUCCGGUUUAUCUCCGUAGCGGGUAAAGGUCCUAAGUCAGUCUCUGAUGAAAGCAGAAGGCUGGGACCCACUGGGUACCCUGGGACCCAGUGGUGUGUGUGUGUGUGUGUGUGUGUGUGUGUGUGUGUGUGUGUGUGUGUGUGUGUGUAUGUUCCAAGUGAGUGGUGGACUUGUGAAGAAAAAGAGGUUGGGGUCCAGAGGACACUUUUUUCCUCCUAGUCUGAGCCCAGGGACUUCUAGCAGAGACCAUCACUGGAGGCCAGAAAAGCGAGUCAAGUUCCAGGGUUUCGUCUCCAGGUGUGGUACAACCCAAGAUGGAGGAAGUUGUGCUCUCCGCCCUCGGAGGGCGACUGGUGGAGACAUGCCCUGUUUCCGCUGCUGGCCACAGGCCCCACAGCAGUGUGUGUGUCAUUUGGGGUGACUUAGUGUGUAUCUCCACUCAGUGAGGAGAAAAAGAGCUGACAGAGAACUGGAAUGACUUUUUUUUUUUAAAGGAACGAUAAUACAGAAACAACUGCUUCAGUGACAAUUGUCAUUUCAGUAACACGCGUCUGACUGUCUACCGAGACGAGCAUCAUUGUCUCCCAUUUCUAGCUGUAACCAAGGAGACAGAAUGGAGUUGCAAAUGUCUGCCAUUAGUAUCAAGGGACACUUAUUAGCUUGCUGCUAAGAGUGUUAAUAAUGGGAACUUUGUAGUGAAUUAAUUUUUAUCGAGUUGCAGUUGAUUUAAAGAAACACCAGUUUUCCAUGCAGUUGACAAUGAGCUUGGUAAAUUACUUUAAAGGAAUAUACAUUUGCCAAGGUCCUUUCUUUCCUCCUAAGUUUUCAAGGUGACCCUCGUCAAACACCUUUAAAACUGUUACUAAAAUAUUAUUUUAUGUUUAUGCGUUAUGUGCGAAUGUCUAUGCUGUCAGGUAUGCUGUCACGUGUGUGCACAUGCUAUGCUGUGUAUGUGGAUCCAGUUUUCAACUCUUCCUAUGUGAGUGUCAGGGAUUGGCAUCAGCUUGCCAGCUUCUGUACACUGAGCCAUCUUGCCAGAGCUCCUUCCCCCAGUUCCCCCGAGUCCCCCCUUACACACUGAGCUAUCUUGCCUGAGCUCCCUCCCCCAGCUCUCCCCAUCCCCCCUUACACAGUGAGCUAUCUUGCCUGAGCUCCCUCCCCUGCUCCCCCCCGCCUGCCUCCCCAGCACUAACAUUGUGAGGUUGUGUUUCUUCAUGAGCACUUCUACCCAUCAUUAGGUUAGCCGGGGCUUGUGUGCUUUUCAGAUUGAGCUGGCUCCGUAAAUACGCUUGUUGGGAAUUUUUUUGGGGGGGGAGGGUUCUUAGUUUUAGUUCCGUGUAUUGAAAGUGUGGAACAGUCAAGCCACUAAGUCACUUUGCAAGUGCACAGUUUCACCCAGUGCCACUCUUUUGUGUUUUUUCUUUUUUCCCCCUCUCUUUUGUGGAAAGAGUACCUAGAACCUUUGGCAUUGGCAGAUUCCAAGGAUACAAUUUGAUAUUAGUAGUCAUGGUCCUCAUGUGAUACAACAGAUGUCUCUAUCUUAACCAUCCAGGAUAACUGCAUCUUUGUUGCAUCCAUCUCUCUCUCUCUCUCUCUCUCUCUCUCUCUCUCUCUCUCUCUCUCUCUCUCCCUCCCUCCCUCCCCCCCCACUUCUCAGUUGUGCCUUAGAAGGUUGUGAUGGUUGACCACCAGUGAGUUCUAGGUAACUGUGGGCAUAUGCAUGUACAUUGUGUGUGUGUACAUAUUAUGUGUGUGUGCACAUAUGCAUGUGCAUUUUGUGUAUGUGUGUACAUGCAUGUAUGUUUUGUUUGUGUGUGUGUGUGUGUGUGCGCGUGUGCUCACACGUGCGUGUGCUCAUGGACUUGGGACCCAUCUUGGGAGUCUUCCAUAACUUUGACCACCUUUCCACUUUAUUCUUUGAGGUGGAUUUUCUCAUUUAAACCCAGAACUCACUUAUCAGUGAGUCUUGCUAGCUGGCAUGCUCCAGGGAUUCUGGGUUUCAGAUAUCUGAGACUGGAUUAUAUUAACUGCUUAGCAUUUUCCUGGCCAUGUUCUGAGGAGACUCUAAACUCAGAUCUUCUUGCUUAUUGGGCAAAUGCUUUAACCUCCAAGCUACCCUCCCACCCCCAGCCCCUGGGUGUAUUUUUUUUUGGUUCUAGGGAAAUAGAAUUGCUGGAGAAAGACCAAAACAAAGAUGAUACAUGAGUAAACCAUAAAAUUAAAGCUGUAAACACCCAGCAGACAAAUCUUCACGAAAAAAAGAAAAGAGAUGUGGGAUUCACAAAGGGUGAAAUAGCUCAGGCGGCUUCUAGAAGACACACCCAGUUAAGGAAGAACUUAAAAGGAGAACUCUAGGAAAGUUUAGUCUUAGUGCUGUUUCCAAAUCCUCUUUAGAACUUUAUCUUGAAUCCUAUUUUCUGGUUGAUGUUUUUGUUUUUCAUUUGAAAACAAUUGCUUUUUCUUAGAAAACAAACUCCCAGUUUCCUUGUAGAUGAUAGUCCUGACUGGCUUUGCCUUCGGGCUGUCAAGUCAGAUGGAGGAUGUUGUGACAUUAGAGAUGAGGACGAUGGUGUAAGAAGGACUCACUGUAUUGUAUAUCACAGGGAGACAUCGAACACUUUGUUCUGGGAAGGGAUGUCAGUGACUCAGAUCCUGCCGAAGUCGUCUUGUAAUGAAGGAAACGUUUCAGAGCCACUGCCCAACAUUUAGGUAUCUGGACCCCAACUCUGACCUCAGUCAUUAGCCACAUUGCCCUGUGGUUUAUUUUCUCUUUCUGGUGCUGAGGGUGGAACCCGUGGUCUUUUGUCCUAGGCAAGUGUACCAGUGAGUUACAGAGCUCUGCCUUCCAUCCUCCUUCCAGAGGAGCUCAGUCAUGGUGGGCUUGCCGAGCAUGAACAAAGCCCUGGGUUUGAUCCCAGGACCACAAGAAACAGUAUAGUGCUGGAUGCCUGGGAUCUCAGCACUCAGGAGUGGGGGAGGCAGAUAGAGCAGGCAUUCUCAGCAUCGUCAACUGAGUUCAAGACCAGUCUGGGAUCUGUGAAACCCUGUCUUAAAAAUGAAUGAAUGAUUGAAUGAAUGAAUGAGUAAAUAAAUUCAGCUUUGAGCCCUCCUCUGUUCCUUCAUCAAGACCUCUUUGGUGUUACAGUUCCCAAGGACAAAAGAGAUUUAAACUUUUAAGGGAUUUAAAGAUAUUUUAAUUGAUGCUAGCAGUUCCACACUGGGGGUUGGGGGACGACACUGAUAAUUAAAUACAGGUAUAUGACAGGCAAUGACCAAAUCAGAGCAGCUGGUAUUUCUGUCUCUAGAUACGCCUCAAGCACAGACACGCCAGCGUUACUUUUGUCCUCAGGGUUGGCCAUCCAUCAGUUGUUCUCCAUGUUUUGAUACACAUGCGUUCAGCUGGGGUCUUCUGAAUGACUGUGUUUUCACAAGUGGAGUCUCAUUGAUAAUGGGAAAAAUUUUCCUGGAAAUCUUUCUGCUUUGGGCGUUGGGAAGGACAUCCUGUCAGAAUCAGUACAGACGCCUGUCCCACUUUUUGUUCUCAGGCAGGCGGCUCUUGGAGCUGUCGUUUGCCAGUGGUGUAGCUCCCAAAUGUUUUGCUCCUGGAGCAAUCAAGCAUUGUUUAUUUUUCCAGAUGUAAACAUGACUUAGACCUGCGAUGCGUUUGGCAGAGGAGCCGUGAAUUAGGAGACGGAAAAUAUCUUGGCGAGGGUGUGGAUUUUAUAGAUCAAGAGAUUAGUGUCAUUCAGGGAGUUGGAACACGGCAAGACCCUGUGACAUGUGUCAGUCCAUCUUCUUAGAUGAGCUGACAUGACGUAAGACAGACUACUAGAAUAAAUCUUGAAGGUAGGCAGCAGGGAGCAGAAAGGGAGGCCUGUAUCCUGGUUUUGCAUUUCUAGUGCCAGAAAAACCACUUUGCUAUCAAAAUAAAUAUAAAACAGCCAUCGGCAGACGGGGGGUCCUUCCUGUGCCUCUGGCCUAGUGAUGUUUCCACCUCCUCCCUUUGGCAGUUAGGCAGUGAUCUAGAAAGCCUAGCUUGGUGUGAGGUAUAGGUUCCUAGUGUCAGUGGAGGCUGAAGUCUCUUACUUAGUAAAUUUGUAAAUGGGAAAGAAUUUCCAGAGAACUCUCACGUUGAAAAAUCGCAGAUGGACCAUUAUGUAUUUGUAAGAUGCUUUGGAGUCUAGCAUGUGUCUUUCCAUAAGGUAACUGAUCUGAAGCUUUUCUCCCUCCUUCUCUGUUGUCUGUCUUUCUGUCUGUCUGUCAUCCCCCCCCCCCCAUGUUGAAUACAUGCAUUGGGUUCCUGUGCACCUGUGUGUGGAGGCUGGGGAUUGACCUUGGUUGUUGUUCCUAAGGAGCUAAGUAGACUUGUUUUUCUGAGAUAGGGUCUUCCACUGGGGCCUGGGAAGGCUGGCUGUAAGCCCAGUAAACCCAGGGAUCUGUUCUCCAUCCCCAUCACUGGAAUUAAAAGUGAAUUCUUAUAUGGAUGCCAGGGCUCUAACUUAGGUCCUCAUACUUAACCAGUAAGCAUAGCUAAGCCAUCUCCCCAGCUCCUGAAGCACCUUUUAUAGGUGUAUUUAUAUGUGCAUUUAUUUAGGUGAAGUCUAUGCCCCAGAGCUCAGAAAAGACCCUCUCAUGUGCCAGGUAAAUAGCUCUGGGUGGUAUUGGGCUCUCAGUCUACAGAAGUGCCUUCAGUUGUUUGCACUUCACGCUUUAGACAGGGGAUGGUAGCACCUCAGCCUUUCUGUCAGGCAAAGGAGAGCCGUGACCUGGAUACAGUUUGGCCAGUGAGCUGCAGAACUUGGUUCCCAUCCCAAACCUUUCACUGACUAGUGGUGUGGUGCCAUUUUCAUGCAUAUGAAGUGCCUUUCUCCUAAGUCUUUUGCCUUAUCUGGGGUAGCAGCAGGAAUGGGAGGCCUCUUCUGAAUUCAGAACUUACCACCAGCCCUGCUGCUGCUCCUUCUCCCCACACCUAGGGAAACUGAGCAAGGCCCUUGCAGCCGAGUUCAGCCUUGAGUCCUUGUAUGCUAUUAGUCAUUCCUCACCCUUCUCCAUGAAAGAGAAAGAUCAGUGUUUUUUCUCCUGCUGUGGUGAUUAAGCAUUUGUAGACACAUUCAUUCAGACUUUCCUUAGAAGAUAAAGACCAAACCAGCCACCACCCACCCAAUCCCUAGUGACCCCUUUCUUUUUCUUUUCUUCUCAGAGGGUCUGAGGAGCUCCUUUCUGUGAUAGGUCCAGAACUUUCUUCCUCACAGUAGAAUCUCAUGCCCUCAUUUUGCUUUGCUUUGGUUCAGUUUUCAUUUACUCAACAGAUAUUUCUGAGAAUCUGUUGAACAUCCGAUAACACUAGCUGCUUAGAUACAAAGUUUAAUAAAACAGAGGCCCUGUCUUCAAGAUGCUGUGAUGCCUUCAGUAUGUCCCAUAAACCAUGAAUGUGUUUGCACAUGUAUAUGAAAUUACAAGGGAGGCCCGGUAUUGGGUGGGUAGUUUUUCUGCGUUGUCUGUUGAACUUUGCUGAGACAUUUUUCACUCACCAGUGGCCAGAAAAAAAAAAUAAGUAGAGAAUUCUAUGCGUUUGCAUGAGUUCUGCAUCCUUGGAGAUGAAAAUGUCAGGUGUUACCCUGAGGAACUUUUUCUGAAAGCUGUGAAAUGUCUACCUCAAUGGUUCUCACAUCUGUGACAACUCCCAUAGGGGUUACAUAUCAGAUAUCUUGCUUAUCAGAUGUUUAUAUUGUGAAUCAUAACACUAGCAAAAUUACAGCUACAGGACAACAUGAGGACCGGUAAAGCGCCAUAACAUUAGGUAGGUUGGGAACAACUGGUCUACCUAGGGAUGUCCCGUCCCACCCCCCCCACCCCCCCCACCCCCCCAUGAAACAGCUCAUGGUUGAGUUUCAUUCACAGCUACUUAGACUGUUGCUGCUUCUCCAUAUGCCUCUGGGCUCUGAGUCCAGUGUGGGUUUGUCUUGUGAAAAGAAAGGGACUUUCCCUUUGGAUAAAAAAAAAAAAGCAAGUAUUAGAAAAUGGUGCUUUACUUUUCAUGAGUCUUAACCACAUUGGCAUCUAAAAUUCCUAUUUAAAGUUUUUCCUUUUGUUUUUCUUUAUUUUAGGAAGGUAGACUUGAAACCACCACCAUGGAUUUUCAGGAAAACUGUUAAGGAAUAGAUGUUUCAACAGAACAUGCUGGAAGUGAGAGCCCAGGUUGUAAGAUAGGUCAAGGGAGAUGGUAAGGGUUUUUACAUGGAGUCAUGGUCAGGAUCUUGGAAAGAAAAUACCCACUGAGCUCAAUACUGGAGGCAGAAGAAAUGGAAGCGAACCUUCGACGGAGGAGCUGCUGGGUGUCAUGGCGUCAUGACAGGAGGGAGUAAAUGGUUGCCUCAUAGAUUUUACGUGUUCUGACACUGAGCUGAAAUAGAUCCUCAAGCCGGGAGACUCCUUCAGUUCUGUAUCUACAUGUUUUCUGCCACACUUUCUGGAGUGUGUCAUUGUAUGUUAUGUUCUAUUUCUUCUAAUACUGGGUUAAGUCAGUUCAGGGAGAGAGCAUGUUUAAUUUCCUUUUGGACCAGUGCUGGUUUAAGUCAUGAAGGCGGGUAAUGUAACCGUAGUGUCUGCUCUUGGUCCUUGAAGCAUUUCGACUCGCUGAUGCAUUUGUGUCCAUGGUGGCAGCCAUGAUUGGCAGGUGUCAGUGCAAAGGACUUUCUGACUCCUUCAUUAGCAUCUGGCCCUUUGUCCAGACAGCCAACCUUAGGAACACUAAAGACACAUUGUCCUCUAACCUUUAUAUUAAUGGUGAUAUGCCGUGUCUGUUAUCAAGUGGUGUUUACAGUUAGUUAUUGAUACUUCCUGGGGAAAAUAAUUUAAAAAUAGAGUAAAGUGAGAUAAAUAGAAUUCUUUUAGAAUUCUGUAGUUCAGUAGAAACAGUUAUACGGUUCAACAAACAUCAAGAUUUUAAGGUUUAAUUUUAUUUAUGUGUCUAUGCCUAUGUCUCAGUAUUUGUGUAUGCUACAUGUAUGUAGAUGCCCACAAGGCCAGAAGACCAUGUCAGAUCCCUGGAGCCAUGACUUGUCUGAUGGAAUUGAAUUCAAGGUCCUCUGGAAGAACAGCAAGCUGUCUUCACCACUGAGCCAUCUUUCCUGCCCCCAAGUGGAGUUUCAGUCACAGCAAAAGCCAGUUUAGGUAGAUUAUCAGGACAGGGCGCUCUAUCCAGAGCACCGUCUGGUAAGCCAGUAUGUCUCUCUGAAGCACUGUUGAGCUCCAUAGCUGAUGUCCACGGGGCCUGUUCUCUUUGCCUCACCAACUAUGGAGAAGUUUGCUUUGGCGUUGGAUGUUGCAUGAGGAUGGCUGGCAGAAGCACAUUAAAAAGCAGUAUUUUACCUGAGUUUUAGUUAUGACAGCGCCAGACACUGUCAGAUUAACAUUUCCCUCAUUUUCUGACAUGGAGUGGGUCAUUAACUAAAGACAGUUACUUAGCUGUGUUGUAUGGCUUGCUGAAACGUUUUCUGGAUUGAUUGUAAGGGUUCUUGACUCCCAUAGGCUGUGUAAUUCAGCUUAUCAAAUUCUCUUUGUUGGUGGUGUUGUGGGAAUCCCUGGCCCUGAGAGCAGAGGCUGGCAGCUCAGCUCUGUUCCUCUGCCACAGAGAUGCCUCAGCUCCCAGUUUGGGAUCUUCUAGGAGGGGCAUGAAGAUCACAGAUGUUUGGCUUUUAUCUGUCCACUUCAUUAGUGUUGACAAGGUUCUUUGGGUACUGUUGAACGUACAGGGAACAGGACAUUUCUGUCUGCAAAGUGACACUUGCCCAUCCUUGGGAAGUGUGUCACAGGCUGACUCCACAGUACACUUUCUGUAUCUGUGCAUUUCUCGGUCCCUGAGGAGCGUGGAGGGGUGGGACCAGCGCUGCUUCAUGGAAGGAAUGCUGGGCAUGUUGUUCAAAUGUAGGAGACAGCUCUUGACUAGUCAGAGCCUAGUACUGAGUGUACUGUACUUGGAACAGAAAAUCGAGUGUAGCCUUUGGUCUGAGGCAGAAGCAAACUGUGAGAGGUGUUGAACCAGUGAGCCACAGGCUUCCAUAUGCUUCCUAACAGGUGACUCUGCUGGUGUUAGAGCAGGUAGAUGUAAGGCGUAAGGGGGUAGGGGGCUGUGUCCGAUUCUUUGCUGUUGCUUUAACCAGAUCUCUCAGAAGAAAGUAUUAAGUCAGAUUCUUAUUGUGUUAGAAUAAAUAUGAUAUUCAAAUACCCUCAUUAUUAUAAAGUUCUACAGCAUGUCAAGAAAAUGUAAAAUCACCAGAUACCUUGUAAACGGUAACAGUCACUGUGCUUUUGUGCUCAGUAGUUGUAGACAGUGCAUUGGGAUAAAGUGGACCUCUCCUCAGGUGGGUGAGCUUGCUCUGAAGAGCUUCCACUGUCCAUCCUGAAGGCCUCUGUUCUCUGGUUUGUGUUCUGAAGUGCUCGAGGGAUUUAUUUGAUGAAUAGGUUUAUUAUGCCUGUGCUGCAGACAUUAGACUCUAAACCAUAUCAGACUGCAUUCUUCUUUCUGGGAUAAGGUGUUUAUGUGAACUGGUGGCUAAAGCAGUCCUAAGGAACCGAGUUAAAUGGAACAGGCUAAGUUGCAGGAGGAGCCCAGGGAUAAAAUGUGUAAUGAAGAACGCUCAUAGAAUGUCUGGAUGGUAGUGUAGUUGGCACAGUGCUUACCGCACUUACCUGAUGAUAGUUCAAGAGAGUGCUGGGAUUAUUAGAGUGUUACACAAGCUUACCCAUGAUUUCUGUAACACACACAGACACACACACACACACACACACACACACACUAACUACACCUUUCACAGUGCUGGGAUUAUUAGAGUGUUACACAUGCUUACCAUGAUUUAAGUCACACACACACUCUCCCUCUCCCUCUCCUUCUCCCCCUUUUAAAAACAGCAGGCUUAACUUGUGCCUUCUGUGUUGAUGGGAUUCCUUUGGCCAACCAUCUGCCUUGGUUGAGACCAUUAAGGUAGUCGGUUACACUCAGGACCUACCAAGGCACGGAGCUAACCUGCCACACCUUGACGGCUGAGUGGAUUUUGCUUCCCUUCAGCCUGGGUGGGUAUGAUUUGCAUCUUUGCUAACAUGUGUCUGCAUGAGGAUGGCUGGCAGAAGCACAUUAAAAAGCAGUGGGAAGCCUGGCCCAGCCUCUAACAACAGGUACCGUCUUGCAGAGUAGUGGAUUGUAUUCCAGUAGCUGCUGAGUUUCUUCCCUGUACUACUGGCUCUAGACAUUCAGGACGAAUGUCACUCACAUAUCCCCAAAAGGAACUAACUGUUCAGAGUCCAAAGGGCCCAAAAGAUGAAAAACUCCAGUAUAUGUGUUUUGGUUUUUGUCUGUUUUUUUGUACUAUGGUAUUUGUUGAAAUCAAUUUAAACUAAGAAUAAGCUAAGGGUAUAAAUUAGUUUCUACUUUAAACAACUUGCCCACCCCUAGGAUUUUCUAGCAGGGUGUGGGAACAGAGGGCUGAGACGGGCAUGUCUAUUGAGAAGGUUUACACUUGCUGUUUCUUUAGGAAGUUUGCCCUUGGUAAUUUCCCUGAACUGGCUUUGUUGUGCAUGUGCUGCUCAGUGAAAGCUAGAAGCCUUUUGGGAAAACAGCAUUUGCAAGGGGCCAGAAGGUAUAAUAGCUGAUCCACUGGCACGUGGCCCAGAGUAAGCAGAGGUUGAAGCUUUUAGUGUGGUUUAAAGAUGCUGGCCUGUUAUUGGCCUCCACUGUAAUUGGGCGAGUGGUUUCGGACUGAGCCCACAUUCUGCUUCUCUUGGGAGCAGCUGCUAGGAGGUUCCAGAGUCCCUCUGAGCUAGGGACUCAUCAUCUGGCAUAUUUACUGCAAGCCGGCUUUAUCUUGGGAGCAGUUUCUUAUUAAUGGUGGUAAUAAGCCCAGAUUUUAGUGCAAGAUAGUGCUGGGGUGAUUACACUGUGUUGGCUGAGCAGGGCUCUCACAGAAGUGUCGUGGUACUGCAGGAGACAGGUAUAGAAGGACAGCAAUGGGGUAAGACAGCUAUUCGUAAGGAUGGGGAAAUCCAUACAUGUGAUUGGCUUAGAGCCUUUUAAAAUUAAUUCAUUAAAAUGCUUACUACACUUUUUAUUUUAGUGUGUUUGUACAUGCUGACCAUACCUAUGGAAGAUAAUUCUCAGAUGUCAGUCUUUCUGUACCAUGUGAGACCUGGGAAUUGAACUUAGGUCCUCAGGCUUGGCUGCAAGCACCGUUACCUACUGAGCUAUCUCACAGGCCCUAAUUUAAGAGGCUUCAAAUGUCCAAAAGCUUGAGCUUCCCAGCACCAGUGAAAGAAAGUAUGGAUUAGUUAGAAAAACACCUACCCAUCCUCAUCAGCUUUGCUUUUCUGUUUUUCAGGUCGCGUGCGUGCGUGCGUGCGUGCGUGCUUGCGUGCGUGUGUGUGUAUAUGCGUGUGCUUACUUUUCAUCGAAGUCAACCUUUUCCUUCAGGGAUGUGUUUAAACCUGUCACCUUUUAUCAGUGACUGGGGAUGGAUCAUGCUUUCCACUGCUGCUGCCCCACCCACUUCUUUAACUGGAAUGACUUAUGGAGCCCCACCUCUGUUCUUAACUUGCAACAGUUGCCUGCCGGGCUGAAUCGCUGAAAGACAGAAUGUGGGUUGUGCAGUCACCUUCCUUCAUUUUGUUGCCUGGAGUGUGAAGUGUGGAUGGUGUGGGCUGGAGGAUGGAGGGAUGGACACAGCUCCCUGCAGCAGAAAGGGAAGUGGCUGGGAUCUGCUUCAUUUAGAUUUGCAAUGAGAGUUCUAGUGCCCGGUUCUGUCCCAUUUAUUUCCUGGUGAAUCCGCCUCCACUAUCAGUGGAAUGCUCUCUCAUUUUUCUUCAUUGAGCGAGUAGUGAUAUCUCCCGACAUAGGGGUUUGAGUUGGAUUUUAAUGGAAGCCAUAGAGGCGUGAAGUCUUGUAGAAAAAUCCGUGAAGGGGGAGGAGCGUUGCUUUCCUAGGAGGCCCUGGGACAGGUGGGAGGCUGGGCAGCUGUGUGGGCGGGACUUAGAUUCAGCUGUUUGCCCGGGCACACAAUCUGUUUUACAUCAAGAUGAAGAAGAAAAGGCAUUAACAUCAUGAUGGAUCACUUGGCUAACCCCAGGAAUGUUAAUUAUGUGUCAGAGGUACAUUUUAACCCUUGAAAUAGUGGCUUUUAGCAGGGUUUUGUGGUGGGUAGAUUCAUCUUGCUACCCAAGUUUUUUUUUACUAAACAUUGGCCUGCCAUUUAUAGCUUCUGGGUCAGGCUCACAGGCAUGUGCCAUUUUCUCAGUCUUGUUUGCUGCAGUGACCUCUCUUCUAGCCCUGGCUCUAACCAAAUCCAUCCACUUACCCAUGCAAUGGUGCAGUUUUGUCUAUUUGGAUUCCUAGCUUCCCUCCCACCCAAAUGUUAGGUGAUCCCGUUAGCACCUUGACAUCCAGCCAGGAUGUUCUGUUCCCCCCUGGUUCCCUUCAUCAUAGUCAUGAGCAUUAAACUUCAAACUUCCCUAACAUCUGUGUAUCUCUGUACUUCAUCCAAUUAUGACCAUGAAAUUGCUCACCCCCAAAUAGUGGCUUAAAACAAAACCGGAGGCUGAAUGUUUGUAUUUUCCUUAAACUGCUCUUUCGAAACCCUAACCUUCGAUGGAUGUUGCUGGAGGGUAAGACGGGUGGGUGGUGAUCAGGCUAUUAGAAGGAAGCCCUCAAGAAACAGUUACUAGACCUUUUCCGCCAUGUUACCUGAAAUGCCACAUCAGCUGUCAAUCUUAUUGAACUCUGGCUUCUGCAACCGUGAGAAGUUUUGCUGGCUUCUGGGACCAUGAGAAAUAAAUAGAUGUUGUCUGAGUAACCUAUGAUGUGUUCAUGAUGGGCCAGAGCUAAGACAAUAUUAAUCCUGUAUCUCAUUCUUCAUUCUGUGCCAUGAGUGGGCUUGGCCAGGAGUUCCGGUUUGGAGCAUUUCACAGAGCUGCUAUCAGAGGGUGACUGGAGCUGAGUUGACCCCGAAGAUUUCUUUGUUCAUGGGUCUAACAUUGAGCAUAGAGGAGUCUAACAGCCUGGGCAGGAACUGCUGGGCUCCUGGCAAACUCUGUCUUCUCACCUGGCCCCUCCUUGUGGGAAUCUGUGGUUGCUGCCCUUUUUGUACAUUGGGCUCUGAAGUGAGUUUUCUGGGAGAAACUGGAAGAGCCCACCUCACCUUGGAGGUCCCACAGUUAAGUUUCUUGCCUCCCUUUCUCUCGGGUAGUAGGACUGCUUUCAGAUGAGGACUGGCAACAGACACAUCCUUAGAUGUCACCGCUGGGUAGAAGGAAUCUGAAAGACUGUGGAAAACUUGGUGUUUUAAAUAUUUUUUUCAAGUUGGAUAAAACACAUGAAAACUUUAUUGCCUCAGGCGUCUCGUGUACAGUUCAGUGAUUUAAGUCCAUUCAAAUUACUUUGUAACCACCAACCUCCUCUAUCUCAGAGCACUUCCUGUCACACACGGUAACUCUGUGCCCACGGAUUGCUUCUCCAUCCCCCGGCCCCGCUGGUUACCCAAUGGUCUCUAAGUGUUGACUAUUCAUUCCCCAUGAAUUCAACUCUGAAUACCUCACAUGUAAGCGCAACAUAGUGUUUGGCUUCCUUUGGCUUAUUUCAAUUAGCACGCUACACCCAAAUUCAUGUUAGAGCCUGUGUAAUAAUUCCCUUCCUCUUUAAAGAGUGCACAUGCACUUUGAUUCUCCGCCUCCACUCGUGAACACAUAUGGCUUUGCCUUGCCUUUGGCCAUUUAAACAGUGUUGCCCUGAUGUGGGUACCCUGGAAAGCAUGUUUUAAAAUCACAGUUACCGUUGACUCUGUGGUUUCUCAAGUGCUUUUCCUCACUGAACUGGGGAUUUCUAAGGGUAAGGAUGGUGACUUUUCAUGUGGAAACCCCCCGGGUCCCGGCACAAACACACAAAGUAGUUGCUGAGUGGGCAACACAGGGAUGGAUGGAGUAACGUGAGCCAAACCUACCCGGGAGGAUUCACUUCUUAGGUGUGACGGGUGUUGCCGAUGGGGUUGGGGAGUUCCGAAAGCAGUCACAUUGGACACCACCCUUUGUAAAAUGUUUACUGGAUGACACCCGGGACAGGGCAUUUGUCAAAUACAACAUGAACUUAUAGGAUGAUGUUUUAGUGCUUCCAACGUUUUAAAAGUCAUCCACUGUGCUUCACAUGUGGCUUUUAUAUACAGUCAUGCUCUGUGUAGCACAAAGGAUGACAUUGGGGAGCCAUUUCCUUUGUCUAUUGCUUAGCUUGCUCUUAAUUAAAACGGAAGGAGGCCUGUGAGCCUUGAUAAUGUCAUCUUAUGUGGAGAAUGUGUAACAGCAGAUUUGGUUUUCAUUCGUUCGCUCUUAGCCCCUUGCAUGUGCAAAGCCGCGUGGUAGCAGCCUAUUCUAUCAGUGUAAACCUGAAGUCAGCCCGCUCUCGACUGCGGACGAAGGGGAGUGAUAACAAAACUUGUGCCGAGGAGACGUUGCCCUGCCAUUUUUAAAUUAAGGACCAUGGAGAAAGGAGGAGAUACAGUUAUAGAGCAAAUGAAUAAUCAAGCUUUCUUUUUCUUGCAUGAACCACCCUCUGUACGUGAGCUCAUGUAAAAUUAAAAGCGAAAAUCCCCAAAUGGCCAUGAUUUCCUGACUUUUUGUCUUCAUAAGUGAGAUAAAUACUAAGUAGCCUUUCCUUUUAAUUUCUUGAUUGAUUUAUCUCAUAUUAAUAUUUGAGGAGUCGCUACAGUGUCUACAAAUGCUUCUUGAAUACUUAGUGUGUUCCAAUGGAAAGACCUUUAGAUUUGGUAGCUGGAUUCCUUCAUUUGCCUAUAAAUGUCUUACAUGGAAAGAGAAAAAAGAAUACUAACCUCAGAGGCCAAAAGGAAAGAGUCAAGAUUCGGCACAACCCAGCUGAACGUUGGAGAGCUCGUGAAUCCAUGCAACAUUUGAAAUGUGAUGUUUUGGGACUUGCCAGUCUCUGUGGAGGUGACAUAAGCUAAGUCAUCUAACCUUGGGGAGCCAAGGUAACACUGAAGGAUGCGUUUCUUUAUGACCCUUUGCUGGUCAUGAAGCUUAGGUAGCACUAAAGCUUUUUGUUUAUCAGAAAGAAAAUUGGGGUUCAGAAAAGUAGAACAAAUCCUGCAGCUCUGCGCUCCAGAGGGACUUUGUCGUGUUCUAUUACGUCACGUCUCACUCUCUUCCUGUGAUAUAUUUUCCUCCGUCUUUCCAUCCUCUUCUUUAUUCCCUGUCAGCCUGGUGUGUGCAUGGACACACAUGCUGAGAUCAGGAAGGAUACUGGGUCUGAAUUCCCCCUCCACUGAGCCUACCAGUGUGGCUCCUGCUUGGACAUGGCUAUCAAUCACUGAAGCAAUGGCAUGCUGUCAAGGGCUAAAUAAGGUUCCCUCUUUCUAGGCUUUCCUUUCCUUGGCAGGAUUUGAGCCUUUGGGAUAUCCUUGAGUCGUCUACAUUAUGUUUUUAUCAUCCACAUUAUUAAUUUCUUUCUCUUUAUAACUUGUCUCUAGUCCAGCAUCGGGCUCCCAGUGACAUAAUGUUAGGUAUCAUGGGGUCGGGGCCAACCGCUCUAACCAUGAUGCUGUGCAGCUAGAGAGCCCAUUAAAUAAUAGCAGCGUGGUGACAGCAGAUGAGUCCAAAAACGUCUCCUAUACAUAAAUACAGUAUGGUAAGCAUAGUUUGAUUUAUUGAUUGGGCUUCUUUUGAGACAGGGUCUUAUGUAGCCCAGGCUGACCUAGAACUCAGUUUGUAGUCAAGGCUGGCUUUGAUCUCUUGAUCCUCAUGCCUCCAUUUCUCAAAGGUUGGGUAUUGUAGGCGUAUACCACUGUGUUUACUGUUGUAAAAUUAUAUUAAAGGGCUGUCUUUUAUCUUGCUCUAGGUCCGGCACUGUAGUGCCCCAAGAUAUCCACUAGAUAUCUUGCCAGAAUUAGAAAAGCGUCUUACCGGCUCUGUGCCAUCCCAUAUCACACUGCCGAAGGCCUCUCUCUGAGCCUGGCAAUCUCUCUACCUAUCUAGUUCCCAAGGCAGGUUUCCAUGCCAGAAACACACAUCCCAGCUCUGUGGCAGCCCAGACCAGCCGCCCACACUCCCUUACACUUAAAUCUGCACAUGAAAGAACACACAGCACAAUAACCUUUGAUCCAAUCGAUAAGAUAUAAUUGCCCACCUAAACAUACAAAGCCCGGUGCACAACCUGUAAAGGUACAGUGUGGAAUCUUAACGUCAGCUUCUGGCUACACUGCUGCCUUCUCUUCUGUUCCCAUCUCCUCCUCUUCCCUCAAACUUUUCUCCUGCCCAUCCUUCCUUCUCGUCCAAUGACAGGCCUCCUUCUAUCUCUUGUACCUGCCUCAUCUGUGACAUCAUCCCACACUUUACCAUACUAAAAUAUGAGGGGCUACUUGAUGAAAGGAAAGAGGCUACAAGCAAGAGUACGAAGGGGAUGGUGGGAUGCUUACCAGAUAGAGAUGGCCUCAUUCCAUCUCUGAAUCUCACAAUGGAAGGAAUAAACCAAUACUAAGGGUUUUGUGUUCAUGUCUCUCUCUCUCUCUCUCUUUCUCUCUCUCUCUCUCUCUCUCUCUCUCUCUCUCUCUCUCUCUCUCUCUGUGUGUGUGUGUGUGUGUUCUCAGAGAAGUGGAGACAAGAGAAGUGGAGACAGAGAUUACACACUGUGUUCUGUCCUCCUGCCAUAGACAUAUUAACAUAAUAAUUAAUUAAAAAGUUAGAAAGAACGUCUAUAAGACGGGUGUUAGCUGCAAAAUAUGUAGGGCUGUGCCUAAGGCACAAGGCUGCACAGUCUCAGCUGUGACCCUGUGGACUUUGGAAUCACAUGGAGGCUCUGUUCAGCUUCCUAGUACACUUCACUACCAGCUGUUUUGAGAGACAAAGAGUCUAAUGUUUGGUCCACUCAUGACUGUGCCAUGGUGACUUCUGCACUUUGCCGCCCCCAGCCCCUAUGGCCACUCCAACUCACCAUGGGAAUGCCCUGGAUCAGGACACAGGACACAGUGGCUAAGGUUCAUAAAGCACCCCCUGGUCUAGCCAUCUUGCAAGCUUCACAGGUCAUUUAUCCCGAAUGUGACAGUGCCUGCGAAAUCUUUCUGAACUCCAGGAAAUGAAUACCUCAGAGAGCCAGCCUUCCUUUUAAUUUCAGGAUCCCGAGAAGUUGUGGGUGACAUUGCAGAAGUCCAAGAGAAGAGACUCAUAGGGCGAAGCCAGUGAUAGGACAGCAGCUCCAGAACACUGGGACAGAAUCCUGUGAAGACACUGUCUUCUCACGUUUGCGUGCAGCCUAUCUUGCCCUUCAUUUCUUGGUUUUGCUUGUUGUUUUUAACUUCUUACCCAGCCCCGUGGAAAUGCAUUUUGUGUUAUGUGUGCUGGGUAAACCAACCGCAUGGGUAAGGGCCUCUAAUUGGCUGGCGGAAGUUGGCAGUGCGCCACUCACUGGAGCCUCUUGUAAUUACACUUGACUCUGUCUUUAGGACUAUCCCCAGCAUGCUAGGACCCAUUGCAUGAGAGCUCAGUGGAGCCACAACCUUGGUGGAGGGCAGGGUAGUACAGCAACUGGUGAACUGAGGAAAUGACCCUGCGCCUGAGUCAAAGAAAAACUUUGAUGGAUUAGUUAUAUAGCAAGAAUAGAGUUAAGGCUCUUUUUACAGCAGGGCCAUCUGGAUCCACAGCAUGCCUUUCAUAUUUUAUAAGACCUGCAGAAUGCUUACUUGCUCUUGAAGCUCAGAUUUUGGUAAAAGUGCUACCACGAGGUCAGUUCUGGUUUCCCUUUUAGUUUCGUGUUCAGUUAAGCAACCGGCCUUGGAAAUGGCGUGGCUUUGAAUCUUUGCAUUCUGGGAGAGGUGCAUUUUGACUUUCUUCCUGUGGUGAAAUGCAGUUAGGUUGAUCCUGGGACAACGGCAGCAAAACAUAGGUUGAUGCAGCAGCGGCAUAGUGGAAAGCAUUUGUCAUCUCUUUGCAGUGAGCUCAGAUUUCAGAGAGAUCUGGUUUUUCCACCCUGUGGUUCCUUGCAGUUUUACUCUUGUCCCCCCUUAUACCCUGUACCCCCACUCUCCAGUUCUGCCCGAAGGGAGAAUGUGCUCCCCAUAUCUGGGACUCAACCUCUGUGUGAAGGCCACAGGGACAAUUCAUGAUUGGCCCCUGCCCCUCCCUCCUCCCUCUGAGCUCUAUUUAGACUUACAGGAAAAGAUUUGCGGCUUUUUGCAAGCUUUCAACUCGGAGGUAUUUUGGAAGACUAUAAUUUUGUUUGUUCCCUGCUGGAUGCUGUGGCUUCUUCAAAUACGAGUGUGGUUAUUUUCUGCAUCCUUUCCAUAGCAAACAUUUCUUCCUCGACUGCAGGCUCCAUCCAACAGUAGGUUCUGGAAUGCACUCAUCACCACUGCUCCUGCUCCUUGGCAGUGGCUGUCUCCACAGUGAACAAGCUGGCUGUGGUGCUUGGGCUGCCUCUUCAGGUGCCUCUUCGUCUCGCUCGGGCGCUUGGCCUUGUACAUGCUGGACAGUCAGACUUGCCCAGUGUGUGGCAGAUUCCCUGGAAGCCACGGAUUACUUCUGAGUUAUUAUGAAACUUAAUUUGAUGAUAAUGAGGUAGUUCUGUGUAAUAGCACUUUGGGUAGAUAUUCUACCCAUAAAUCAGUAAUUUGUGGGAGACCAUUAGUGAGUGGCAGGGAUUCUCAUGGUGGACUAUUGGAUUACUGGGGUUUGGAUCCUAGAGUUUUCACCCCUCCUGUACCCCUGGGAAUUUUAUUGUUUCUAAACUACUAAAAUUUUAAUCUGCUUGCAAUUUAUUUUGGUAUAAGAAACAACCGUGGGUCUAGCUAUUCUUUUCAAGCAUUUUUUAAAAUGUUUGUUAAAAUAUACAUGACCUUAAAUAUACCAUUUUAAACAUUUGUCACCAUGUGUGGUUUAUGUGUGAUGAAUAUGUGUAUGUGUGUUUGUAUGUGCAUGUAGAAGCUACGGGUUGGCACAGCUUUCCUCAGUCAUUUUAUUUUAUUUUGAGAUAGGGUGGCUCAAUGAACCUGGAGUUCAUUGCUUACUGAGACUGGCUGGAGACCUGCCUGUUUCUGCCUCCGCAGCUCUGGGAUUUCAGGCAUAGUCCACGGUGCCAGUUUCUACCCGAGUAUGGGCUAUUUCAUGUGAAGUACUCAUGCCGACUACACAGUGCUUCACAGACUGAGCUAUCUUCCCAUCCCCCUCUUUACACACUUUUAUUUAUGUGUACAGUUUGAUGACAUUGAGAACACUUAUAACUUUUUGACCUUUAAGCUGUACCUUAGAAGCCAAAUUAUUAAUAACAUUCCGUGUCCCACUUUCCUUUCUGUAAAUAAGGGGAGACACCUUAUUAAGUUUUUCUUAGUCGAGGUCGAACUCACAAUCUUCCCAUCUCUGCUUUGUGAGUACUGGGACUGCAGGAGUGUGCCACGGAGCCCAGCAAGGCUGUCUGGACAUGAGAUUGAGAGCUAGAAACCCCUUGGUGUUUGUCAGGAUGUGUGGUGAGUGCUCAGUAAUGGUUGUGGCUAAGAAGGCUCACAGAGCUUAGCCAGGGCUGCUCUGAGGCUCACAGGGCUAGCCAGGGCUGCUCUGAGGCUCACAGGACUAGCCAGGGCUACUCAGAGAAACCUUUCUGUUUUAAAAAACCAACCAGCCAACCAACCAACCAACCAACCAACCAAACAACCAAACAACCAAAUAACCAAACAGCCCACCAAAAGAAGGCUCACAGAGACAUCCAGGGCUAUUCAGAUAAACCCUGUCUUGAAAAAACCAAAAACCAACCAACCAGCCAACCAAACAAGGUGGCUCACACUACCAGCAGGCUACUUAAGAAGAAGCAUUAGAGUCUCCUGUCUCAAGCAUGUCCUGUAUAAUCACACACACACACACACACACACACACACACACACACACACACACACACACGGAGCAAUUACUUUCCAUUCCUUUGUUGUGAAGGCAGAAUUCUC